ensembl:lincRNA
AUGCCUUCUCCGUCCUUCCUUCCAGAAAAGGAACAGCAUCAACACUCGCAGUGCAGGUCUGGGGAAGCUUCAGGCCUCUGGCUCAGGUUCCCCCUGAGACAUCGCAGCAAGCUCGCUGAGGCCCUAGAACCAUCCCCCAGCACCUGGCGCAGCCCAGGCCUGAAGCAGUCAUAUGGUGUUCAGCUCCUCAGCAUCCAAGGCAGGCCCCUACAUGCUGUCCGCCUACAGCCUUUGUCUCGUCUCCUGGCUAGUUGGGGAGGCUGGAGCAGCCACUGGAACAGGGCUCCCAUCUCCAGGUCCAAGCCACACAGAACGGAGCCCUCCACCUGGAGGGAACCUGCAGGGAAUCUCCCAUGACACCCGGCCGUGAAAACUUUCCAUCUCUAACCCGACUGACCAACCUCAUUUAGCAAACUAAGAGGUAAAGGAUGCCCGAUUAAAUCUGAUUUUCAGACAAACAAUGAAAUGAGUUUUCAUUAGCCUAUCCCACCCAACCUUUGGGACGUCCAUAGGGUAAGUCACACUUAACCCGUGAACGUGUGCUUGCUCAGUUGUGUCCGACUCUUUGUGUCUCCUGCAAUGGCAGGUGGAUUCUUUACCACUGAGCCACCUGGGAAGCCCCAAACUUAAGCCAACCCUAUUCAAACCCUCCUCCUCUCCUUUACUGCUGUCUCCAAAUAAAAGCACAACAGAGGAAUUCUCUCGCUACGGCAAAUCACGUGCCAGAUCAGAGUUUAGGAUGGUCUGACCCUUGGACUAGAUUGCCGAUCGUGAAAAAAUGCAAGGGAGUGAUUUGCCCAUGUGUGAACGGCAAACCAGAGGCCAGUCAGCUCACCCCCUGCCAGGAGAGGCCCUGAUCCAAACCAGCUCAGGGGCCGGAUGGCUAAAGAGAAGAGACUCGGGGCUGAUCUUACUGAGACAUUACUUCAACUUUCUCACGAGCAGUGAGAGUCAGCUUUCUAAACAGCUCUGACUUUUGUUUCCAGGACAGGAAAGACGUUUCUCUUUUUGGCCAUGCUAUGCAGUCUGCGGGAUCUUAGUUCUCCAACCAGGGAUAAAUCCUGCAGUGGAAGCGUGGAGUCUUAACCACUGGAGAGCCGGUGGGAAAGUCCCAGGAAAAACAUUUUCAAUACCCCUUUUUUUUCCGGGAAUAAGUGAUAUUGGCUUCCAAGUAUUUCACUGGGAAGUCUGAGUGCGGAAGAUGCUUGGGGCGCCGGUAUGUCAUCUCGGUCUCCUUGGUCCUCGGUGGUUUUGAUGCCUGGGCCCCUGUGUCCACGGGGAGGAAAUGACAUUUGCUGUAUCAGCGGCACCCUCUGCCCAGCAUGCCUUCAGCUAAGGUCCUGCUGCUUAGCCACCACGCAAAGCCUGGCCCGAUGAAGGUUGUGCUGACUUCUGUAGAACUAGAAAACCGGACCAAUCAUCGCAACACUGUACCUUUGGGAGUUUUGCAUCUGUUUUGACCCUAAAUCCGACGAACCUAAAACUUAGGGCAAAUAAGUCAAGAAACAUAAACAGACACAAAAACAAGGCAAAUAGUAGCAACAAUUCUUUCCGAGAGGCACUGCCAAGGCAGACGGCAAGGCUCCCACAGUUCAAACCCAAGACAAGUAAUUACAGGGAAGCUGUCAAGACAAACAUCACAGACAAUAAAAACAUUCUCACCUGUUACUAACUCUAAAAAAAUCUCAAUACGGUUUUCGCCCAGACUAAAAAAGCUGAUGCUUCAAGCGAGUUCUAAUUCUGUUUCCUCUUCUGAAUGUGGCUCCGGGAACAUCUGUGGACAGUCUGCGACUAAGCUUCCCACGGGCAACAUGCAGGCCCUGGGGUGCUGCUAAUGCCCUUUGUCUCACUGAAGGGGUACUGUGAGACUAUCUAUAAAUCACUCUGUGUUCUUCAGACAAAAGGCAGGAAGCAUGAUAUGUGAUUAUUCAUUCUGUUCCUUAAAAUAAAAUUUAGUAAAUAUUUUGGGCUUGCCAAGUGGCUUAGUCGUAAAGAACCCGCCUGCCAGCGCAGGAGAUACAGGAGGCGUGGGUUCGAUCCCCGGGUCGGGAAGAUGCCCUGGAGAAGGGAAUGGCACCCCGCUCCAGUAUUCUUGCCUGGAGAAUUCCACGGACAGAGGAGCCUGGUGGGCUACAGUUCAUGCAGUCAUAAAGAGUCAGACAUGACUGAGCAUGCAGGCUGCAAAUAUUUUAAUAAUUUUGAAUAUAUAUUUCUUACAUUGAAAUAUCUGGAAAAGUGAAAGAAAAUGUAUGGGUUUACACAUAUACUCCAGAAAAUUACCUCAAUUCUUUUCUCAUUUUGUGUUUA